AUGUCAAGAUUAGGAUACUUGCUAAACAAGUCUUUGAACCUCUCCCAUGCCUCUAGAUAGAUCUCGAGAUCCUUCUGUUUAAAGUAUGACUUCAUUCUGAAUUU
rnacentral:snoRNA from 1 species